rnacentral:rRNA from 1 species
UACGAAGGGGGCUAGCGUUGCUCGGAAUCACUGGGCGUAAAGGGUGCGUAGGCGGGUCUUUAAGUCAGGGGUGAAAUCCUGGAGCUCAACUCCAGAACUGCCUUUGAUACUGAGGAUCUUGAGUUCGGGAGAGGUGAGUGGAACUGCGAGUGUAGAGGUGAGAUUCGUAGAUAUUCGCAAGAACACCAGUGGCGAAGGCGGCUCACUGGCCCGAUACUGACGCUGAGGCACGAAAGCGUGGGGAGCAAACGGG